AGAUCUGAAACAAAAUUUAACACAAGAUAUUAAGGAAAUAAUCCAUAUACAGCCAGAAGCGGGUUAUAUUCUUCCAUUCUUCUGAGACUAGGUGAUCAUCAUCAGACAUUCUGAAGAAAAUCUUCUCACAAGUAGAUCCCAAUUUCCAAGAAAGCCUUUAUUCUUGAAGAGUUCUGUUUCUCAGACAAGACCCAACAUCUCAGAGAUCAAGACUUUAGACAAUCAAUGUUUGUGUCACAUGUCAAAUACAGAGAAGAGAAGAGAAGAGCAGAGGAAGAAGCAUCAUAUCUCACAGUGUAAAUUCUCAUAAAUCAAAACAUGUAUAAUCAACAGAGCCCUUAAGUGAAACUGGAACCUGAAUUUACCCUCAUGUCAGUAAAUGGCAAUGAUUGCCGCUUAAUGAAGGUGAAAA